UACGUAGGGGGCAAGCGUUGUCCGGAUUUAUUGGGCGUAAAGAGCUCGUAGGCGGUUUGGUAAGUCGGGUGUGAAAUCUCCACGCUCAACGUGGAGGGGCCACUCGAUACUGCCAUGACUCGAGUCCGGUAGAGGAGUGUGGAAUUCCCGGUGUAGCGGUGAAAUGCGCAGAUAUCAGGAGGAACACCGGUGGCGAAGGCGGGUCUCUGGGCCGAUACUGACGCUGAGGAGCGAAAGCAUGGGUAGCGAACAGG
rnacentral:rRNA from 1 species